rnacentral:rRNA from 1 species
UACAGAGGGUGCAAGCGUUAAUCGGAGUUACUGGGCGUAAAGGGCGCGUAGGUGGUUGAUUAAGUUGUUUGUGAAAUCCCCGGGCUUAACCUGGGAACUGCAAGCGAAACUGGUCAGCUUGAGUACUGUAGAGGGUAGUGGAAUUUCCGGUGUAGCGGUGAAAUGCGUAGAGAUCGGAAGGAACACCAGUGGCGAAGGCGGCUACCUGGACAGAUACUGACACUGAGGCGCGAGAGCGUGGGGAGCAAACAGG